UACGAAGGGGGCUAGCGUUGCUCGGAAUUACUGGGCGUAAAGCGCACGUAGGCGGAUUGUUAAGUCGGGGGUGAAAUCCUGGAGCUCAACUCCAGAACUGCCUUUGAUACUGAGGAUCUUGAGUCCGGGAGAGGUGAGUGGAACUGCGAGUGUAGAGGUGAAAUUCGUAGAUAUUCGCAAGAACACCAGCGGCGAAGGCGGCAUCCUGGACUGGUCCUGACACUCAGGAGCGAAAGCGUGGGGAGCGAUCCGG
rnacentral:rRNA from 1 species